rnacentral:rRNA from 1 species
UCCGUAGGUGAACCUGCGGAAGGAUCAUUAAAGAGUAAGGGUGCUCAGCGCCCGACCUCCAACCCUUUGUUGUUAAAACUACCUUGUUGCUUUGGCGGGACCGCUCGGUCUCGAGCCGCUGGGGAUUCGUCCCAGGCGAGCGCCCGCCAGAGUUAAACCAAACUCUUGUUAUUUAACCGGUCGUCUGAGUUAAAAUUUUGAAUAAAUCAAAACUUUCAACAACGGAUCUCUUGGUUCUCGCAUCGAUGAAGAACGCAGCGAAAUGCGAUAAGUAAUGUGAAUUGCAGAAUUCAGUGAAUCAUCGAAUCUUUGAACGCACAUUGCGCCCCUUGGUAUUCCGAGGGGCAUGCCUGUUCGAGCGUCAUUACACCACUCAAGCUAUGCUUGGUAUUGGGCGUCGUCCUUAGUUGGGCGCGCCUUAAAGACCUCGGCGAGGCCACUCCGGCUUUAGGCGUAGUAGAAUUUAUUCGAACGUCUGUCAAAGGAGAGGAACUCUGCCGACUGAAACCUUUAUUUUUCUAGGUUGACCUCGGAUCAGGUAGGGAUACCCGCUG